GACGGGCGGUCUGUACGGGUAGGCUAGAGUGUGGUAGGGGAGACUGGAACUCCUGGUGUAGCGGUGAUAUGCGCAGAUAUCAGGAAGAACACCGAUGGCGAAGGCAGGUCUCUGGGCCAUUACUGACACUGAGAAGCGAAAGCAUGGGGAGCGAACAGGAUUAGAUACCCUGGUAGUCCAUGCCGUAAACGUUGGGCACUAGGUGUGGGGAACAUUCCACGUUUUCCGCGCCGUAGCUAACGCAUUAAGUGCCCCGCCUGGGGAGUACGGCCGCAAGGCUAAAACUCAAAGGAAUUGACGGGGGCCCGCACAAGCGGCGGAGCAUGCGGAUUAAUUCGAUGCAACGCGAAGAACCUUACCAAGGCUUGACAUGCACCGGACGACUCCAGAGAUGGGGUUUUCUUCGGACUGGUGCACAGGUGGUGCAUGGUUGUCGUCAGCUCGUGUCGUGAGAUGUUGGGUUAAGUCCCGCAACGAGCGCAACCCUCGUUCCAUGUUGCCAGCGCGUUAUGGCGGGGACUCAUGGGAGACUGCCGGGGUCAACUCGGAGGAAGGUGGGGACGACGUCAAAUCAUCAUGCCCCUUAUGUCUUGGGCUUCACGCAUGCUACAAUGGCCGGUACAAUGGGUUGCGAAACUGUGAGGUGGAGCGAAUCCCAAAAAGCCGGUCUCAGUUCGGAUUGGGGUCUGCAACUCGACCCCAUGAAGUCGGAGUCGCUAGUAAUCGCAGAUCAGCAACGCUGCGGUGAUAUACGUUCCGGGGGCCUGUACACACCGCCCGUCAAGGAU
rnacentral:rRNA from 1 species